rnacentral:lncRNA from 1 species
UCAUGAGGGCGGUUGAAGGUGGAGAGAGCCCGCUCAAUUUUGGAGUUGAUGAGCUUGGCUCGGGCUCGGUCACUCGCCAGUCGGGAGCGUACGAGGUCGGAGUAGUUGUUGUUUGGCGGCUUUAUGAUGGAUGAAUAAGGAUGUAGGGAGAGGGACAAAACGGAGGAGGUCGAGGUGGGCUGAGCUUUUUCUGUUGAGAAGAGCUGAAGUCUUUUGAAAACUGAAGCAGAGACUGCUUGAGGUGAAAAGGGACUGAGGGGGAAGAAGAAGAAGAAGAGGAUGAUGAAGAUGUUAAUGGAAGGAAAUGGCCUUUGAGCUUCUCGAGCCAUGUUUGUGGGUUUGGAGCAGAAGAGAAGUGAUGAGAAGUUUGGAACGAGCAAGGGUUUAUAUACACGUCGAUCUGCAUGGAGGGCAUGUGGUUAAUUAAUUUAAGACAUGGCUGCAUUCACAUUUUACAAAGGGUACAUAUACAUUUACUAGUCCUUCAAACGAAGACAUGUUCGGAGAAUGUAGAAUAACUGAUAUUCCUUGUUACGAGACAAGAGUCUAGAAGAAGAAUGAAGAGACCUUUUUUUUUUCAAAAAAAAAAUUCUUUGAAGCUUAAUAAGGAAUUUUUAUUCAUGUUAAAUCCGCGAGAACAGCAUCAGACACCAACAGACCCUUCUUCCCUGAAGAAAUGAAGAGAAAAUUAAACAAGUAAUAAUGGUGGGUGCUAUGGGUUAAUAUAUGCAAGUAAUAAUUUUUCGUAAAGAAAUCAUCAAGGGUUUUACGUUAAAAAAAAAUCUUCAAAGGUUUUACAUGCAACGGAUCUUCUGUCCCACACUCUAUACCACUUUCUAUCUUACUUUGUAUUAUAUUGUCAUUUCUCUUACAUAAACAUCAUGUUUUAGUUCUUUUUUAUUUUCUUAAAAUCCAAUAACUAUUAAUUGAGUAAUACACAAAAUUUAACAAACUCAAAAAAUCAAAAUGCAUAAAAAAAUGAGAUUUUUAUGAAUUUUUUGCUGUAUUUUUUAAUUUUCUAUUAUAUAUUGCUUUUUUGAACUGUUAUAUUUAUUUUUAUUCAAUUAAUAGCUAUUGAAUUUUAAAGAAACAAAAAAAAACUAAAAUAUGAUGUUUAUGUAGGAGAAAUAGUAAUAUAAUAAAAAGUGAGAUAGAAAGUGACAAAGAUUACCAGACAGAAGAUCUGUUGCGGAUUUUACAUGCAAAUUCUUUCCCCAAGAGUUGUGGAACACAAGGAAUUAUGUGGCUCUCUAAACUCACACGGUCCACAAUUUUACCUGCGUGGUCCGGGUCCAUCUCUAAGAAGAAGAGACAGUACAAUUGGAAUUUUUUUUGUAUAAUGAAUGCGAUGGCACUUUCUUUGAACAGAGAAAAAUCCUGCAAAGAGGCCAAUCACCAAAUACCGUAGACGUUCAUCUUGACACAUAAACCAUACUUGAAAUCAAAGUUGAAAAUUCAGAUAAUCGUGUUUCAUGCAGAAACUCCCUUUCGGUAUCGCAUGCAUAUUAGGCGACUAAUUAGCUGUCAACGGUACGCAACAUCAAAACAGCUGAUGUGGGACAGAAGAUCCGUUACGUACACAACAUCAAAACAGCUGCACUUUUACCAUUCGUCAACCAAUCAGACCAUUUCGUCUUCUUGUCCAUUUGAUUUAACCUAGAGAAACUCUAGUCGUCAUUCGUUAAUGCUCUUUCUAGUUGUUUAAAUAAAGAAGAAACUUUAAAUUUUUGGUACACAAAAAAAAAAAGAACAAAUGGCCUUAAUUUGAACUCAUUUAUCAAAAACUUUAAUUGUCUAGUCGCCAAAUCUGUAAAUGUAUAAUUGCUUCUACAUAUUUGUCCCUAGCCUAAACUUUUUAGAACUUUAAAAACAAAUUGUAUUGUACACUGAAACAGUUACAUGUCCUAAAUUAGAGUUGCCAAUGAAAGAUGGCCAACAUUCUAGUUUUCAUAGGAUAUUACACUUUUCUAUGGUUUUCAAUUAAUGAGAACCACGAGCCCAACAUUAUGGAAUAGGGGUUGUAUCAAGGCACCGCACCAGAGGGCUCAUUGCAAUUGGAUAGAAUAUUCUGAUGCAGACUCGUUCGACCAGUCUGCAGGUAAAGCCUAUUGACUCAGUGGCGACUAGUCGAUCAAUCAGACAAACCAAAGAAGUUAACCUUCUUUGAUACCCAUUAAUCAGAGCCCACAAAGACCAGGACUUUUUUCUUGCCAAUUUUCGGUAAGGCAAAAACAAAGCAUUAAAGCUGGAAACAAAAAAAGAAAAUUUCCCCUUUUAUAGUUUUAUUAGGUCAAGCCAGGAGCAGGACUAGAAGAAAGAAAAUGUGUUUCUUCCAUUAAUUCUUCGCAACGUAAUUCUUCCUUUUAUGUGUACACUAAUUCUUCACCAGAUCGGCAGACCUUACGAGUUCCAGCUCGAUCGUGCAACGAGCGCAACUGAUAAAUCAUUACAGCGAAAACGGAGAGGAUUUGUCUUGUACGUAUACCUCAAUUGACAUGACCGAAUAUGUGUGGGAAAAGCUAGCUCAAGGAUUAAUCCAGCAAAAACAAUCAAGACUCAACAUAACUUACUAUCAAAUUAAAAUGAAGACAGCAGGGCUGAAUCCAAUCGGCCUUGUAUUAUUUUGCAAGCAUUCAUGUGGAAAAUGAAACAGCCAAUGGAAUGGAAUGGUCGUACAACUCCCUCCUUGCCAGAACUUUAUUCAUUCUAUAUCUAUCGACGAAAUACAUCAUAUAUACCCUGUUUACUAAUCGAAAGAACGAUUAUUUUUCCUAUCUAAUGUGUAUCUGAUCAUGUAUAGACGCAUGACUCAUGUACGUUUUAAAUUUUAUAUCUAUAACAUGUAUUUAAAUUCGUUAAUAUAUGCAUACGCUGUCAGUGUACAAAAUAUAUUUAUUAAAACAAAAUCUUUUAAUUUAUAAAUUUCUCAAGUUCAUUAUCAUGUUUUCAUGACUAAGUUAACCGAUGAAAAAAGGCACUCAAUUGACGGAACUUUUCAACAUAAGUAGAUAACGUCCCAACAGAAUUCAGCCAAAACUUUCGUCGUCCUCUCACGUGCCCGGCGUGUGGAUUAGAAGCAUUCAGUCCUUCGCGCCUUGCGCGUUAGCUUCCCACCUGGCCUCGUUGCCAGUGUCCCAUGUGCUUCUGCUGCAUUCUCUCUUCCCGCUGCCUUCUCUCUGCAGCUUCUCUCUCUCUCUUUCUUCUGUCAUUCUUUUUCCUCUUUUCUCUUUCUCUUCUUCUUUCCACAACAAUGUUGCUCUGUCCUCUCAAUUUCUCUCUCCUUUCCUCUAGGGUUACGUACAUCCUCAUACUUUGUCCAUUCGCUCCUCCUCCUCCUCCGUCGACACACUGUCUCCCUCUCCUCUAUCGGCUCCUUUUCUACCCAGCAUCAGAGGUCCGCUUUCUUCCACUGGCCCUGGGAUUCCCCUUUCGCCUCCUUCUGCUUCAAGUUCAGCCUCGCUGUUCCCUUUUUUUUUUUUAAUACCAUUUCUCCUCCACCGCCACACCUUCUUCCUCUCAUUUAUCUCUCAGCCUUUGGGAGGCCUUUCAAUUCCAUAGCAAGAUCCUCGCCAUCAUCGGCAUCUCUCACUGCCUUUCCUCCCUAGAUCUCCAAACCCUCCGGACCCAGACCCUCGCCCUUUAUAGGCUCGGCUCCUCCAGAUCUCCAGACCAUCCUUGCUUGGAGGAAACAGAGAAAGAGAACAAUUAAAGCAUCUUCCUUUUCCCUUUUUCCUAACCCUAAGCUGACCCGCCUUUCAUCCCCGCCGCUCUUCUCACACUUCCUCUCCCUUUCCUGCCCUUUCUUCUCCCUAUCCCAUCUUACUACGUAUAGUUUACUUCUUUAUUCACCGGCACCCGAAUUCGAGUAUAAUCCUCCUUUGCCGUCCAAAACAACCUGUGGGAAGUUGGAUAAAGGUUUGCCUUUUUUUUUUCCUCAAUCGGUUUUUCAUACUCUGUUGUCUUAUCUUACGAGGUAAUGGGUCUGGAUUUGAAGCAGGUGCAUCAACGAUUGUAAGAUUUUUCUUGGUUGGGUCUUGUCAUCAGAUGCGUAAAAGGAGAGAUGGGGUUUAGUAGCUGUUUCAGUGCAUUUGGUUCUUGCAAGGGACAAAUAAAGCACAUGUGCCAUGAGGUAAGAACCAAGAAUAUUUCAAUUUUUAGUUUAGGCUUGAAUGGAGGUUUUUCUCAAUUAUUGCUAAAUUUGAGCAUGGUGAUAAUUUUGUUGAUUGGAUUUAACAGUUUACGAAUAAGUAAUUGAACCUGAAUUUAUGUUUCCCGAUUUCCAAUUUUCAACUCUAGAUAUUCCCUAGGCAAUCACAACCUUCAAGCUUCUCAUCAUAACUAUGCGUCCUUAGGAAACAUCUGUUUUUUCUAACUUGAUAAGUGGAGUCGAUCCAUGUAUUCUUAAGGUAGCUAUGUUACCCAGUUUAGAGUUGUUUGGUUCAGAAAAAGCUCCAAAGUCAGGUUUCAAUUUGAGCUUAAUCUAAGCGGGACAUAAGUGCCUUUAGCGGCUCACAACUUAGAUAACAGUUUCAGUUCAAAGAUAUAAGAACCUGAAUUUUUUUUGUGAGAUUUAUACUGCAUAUUUUAGGAUGGGUGUUAUGGUUUCAUCUGAAUAGUGCAUAUACUAAUCUACAACUCUUUUCCAUGAUUUUGUAUAUGAUCACUUCUGAUUCUCUGGUUUUCUAUCUGCUUCUGCAUGGUUAGAGCUUGCUACCAGCAAUGUUAGGCUAUUCUCAUACAACUCUUUGAGGUCAGCAACAUGACACUUUCUCUCCUCAAACUAGAAUAGGAGGCGGCAGUUUUGGAGUAGUAUACAGGAUAUGAUCAAUCUUAGUUUGUGUGUCUGCAUAAGUUUUACUUUUAUGGCAACUUUGAUUCGGAGAGUAAUAUAGAGGAGAGGAAUGAGGAACUAAGCUAUUAUGGUACCUUACCAAUAUCAUUCUUAUGUUCGGUCCUCCUCAAUUUGUUAGCUCUUCAUAGAGGCUCUUAUCCAGUUUUUUGUACUUUUACCUUCUUGCAUCUCACCUUAAAAUUACUUGUUAGAGAAUGAAACAUGGUGCAAUGAUAUUGACAUGUGUGUAAUUCCUUAUGAGCUGGUGGAUUAAAACUUCUGUUGGCUAUUGAAUAAGAUGAGUAAAUUUCUUAUAUCAAGAAUUCAACAAGAAUGAAACAGGCAGACCUUGAUAAUUGUCUACUAUAUGAUGGUUUAUAUGUGUAGAUAUGCAUUCAAGUGUCAUCGAAAAUCUGGAGCUGGAAGGGACAUUGUCUACCCCAUUGAAUUCAAUUGCAUUUCAUCUUAUAUAAGUGGUGCAUAUACAUUUAUCCACAAUAAAGAGAUUAUUGUUCAGCAGUCAUUCAUUGGAAGUUGGAUUGUAUGGCCUCUUUUUUUUUUUUUCAAGUUUUGUUAAGAAAGAAAAUCAAUGCUAAGAUAUUUCACUAGUGGAGCUGGAUCUAUUACAAUUUUCUAUUGAUUGAAUAUCUUUAGCCUCUUCUUGUAAUCUAUCUCAAAACUGAUUUAAAUAUGCAGCUAUGGUACAUUUGCUACUGGGGGUUGUGAUGGUUAUGUUAGUGUGUGGGAUGGAAACAACAAAAAAAGGCUGUAUCAGGUACUUUUUCCACACUGAAUUUGAAAUGUCUUCAACUUCAUGCUGACUGUAGACACCAAAUUUUUGGUGUAAUUUCUUUUACUUUUUAUUCUCAUUUAUCGUGGUUGCUUUUAGUUUUUUUUAGUUUCUAGUUUCUAUUUUUAUUUUUAAGUUUUAGCGUAGAAAAAUCAUGAAAAAAGAGAAAAAGGAAAAUUGUUCACAAAAUAGGUUUAUUUCUUUUUAAAUUCAAUCUUUUGACUUUAUUUAUUUUUUGGUUAGGUUAUUUCGAAAACAAAAGAAAAGUGAAAAAUGAAAAUGAAAAAUGGAAAUUUGCAUUUUUUGUUGUUUUUAGUUUAUUUUUAUCUAAUGUUAAUUAAGUUGUUUUCAUCAUUAAUUAUUAUUGUUUUAUUAUUAUCAUUUUUGUUGUUUAAUUAAUUAAUUAAAAAAUAAAAAUAAAAAUAACAUUUCCAUCUCUGCCGGAGUGCAUUCCCUUCCCUCGACACACACACUCAACCUCCACUACCGCGAAUCACUCCACUACCUCAGCCUCAACCACAAACACUCCAUCUCCAUUCUCCACCUCGUGAUCAUCGACGAGAGCAAGAGAGGGAGAACUCCUCGGAUUGAGCAGGAGAAAGGUGAAGAGAGAGCGAGCCGCGAGCUGUAUUUCUGUUCUGUCCGAGGAAGUCAAGCGAGAGAGAGAGCAAGAGGCAGUCGAGUGAGCUACUGAUCAUCACCAUCUUCACCAGUUCCAAUCGAAACACCACAGCUUCAACCAUCCGCAACCAGGACCAACACAUCCAACCGCGAGCGAGCAGAGAGGAGAGAAACAUCAGCUUUCUGUCGUCUGAGUGAGCUUUCGGUGAGCUACAACAACACCCUCUACCUUGGAAUCAUCGAAGUGAGGAAACCAGCGAGGGAGAGGGAGCUGCCAUUCCAUUUUUCACCCUCAACUAGCCGUGAUCAAUUCAGUCACAACCAUUACAGCUGCAACCACUGAAUUCAGACUAACCAUCCUCGCGUGCGUGAGCUGCCGAGAGGAAAAAUUGCAGCUGCUGUCCGUGUGAGCUUUUCAUCCAUUUCCUUUCGUCUGUAAACUAGAAAGAGAUUGGGAGCCAUAUUGUCUUCAUACUGGUCGCAAGCUAGAGCAAGGGAGAAGGAGAGUUGCGGACUGAAAUUCUGGACAGCCGAGAGUAGAGGAUUUUUGCAGCUGCUAGUUGCGUGAUUUGAGCCUUAAGCUGAGGUAAUUUCUGGACUUAAGCUAGUUGAUUAUGGCUUGAUGAAGUUGUUUAUAAGCAUGCAUGUGAGAUUGUGUGGCUAGAUGAUAGUUUAAGUCACAGAAAAAUCUGUUUGAGAAGGAAGUGAAGCUGCCGAGAGCUUGAGCUGGAAGUUUCGGUUUUUUUUUAAUUUGCUAGUUGUGAUGAUCUGAGCUUAAUUUUGAACUCAACCUGCUAAAUAGUUCUUUAUUUGGUACUGCAUGUGAACGUUAUGGGCAGGAUUUCGGUUGCAUGGCUGGAUUUUUUUUUAUUGGAAGUAUUAGACUGCUAAACUAAUUUUCCAGCUUUGCCGAGAAGCUGAAAUGGAAAUGCAAUUUUAAUUUCGUUCCCCUGAGGCAGGCUGAGCUUAUAAAUGUGAUUAACUAGCUAAGAAGUAGGUGAUUAAGCUUUGCAUGAAGUUCAUUAGUUCGGCUAAGCAAGGAAAAAAUAUGAAACAGAAAACUGCUACAUGCAAGUUCAUCCGAGGGUGGUGAACAGAAUUUCUGGAAUUGUGGAUGAUUAUAGUUGCUGACCGAACUUGAUUUGAACUAGUUAUGAUAGUAAUUUCAUUAAGUAGCCUUGCAUGUUAGUUUUGAGUACUUAGCACAAUGAUUCAACCGAGGUAAAUUCGGAUUUAAGACCAACUACCUGCUGGAAAAUGCAUAUUCAUUUUUUGCUGCACCAGAAAUUUACGGUUGUGUCUUGCUAUUUUCUUCCAUUGCGGUUCCAAACUUUGCUGUUUUUGUUAGAUAGUAAUUCCAGCCUUGACCGAAAGUUGUAGUUUGUAUGCAUGAGAAGCUUAACAGGAUUUUGAGCAUGGGUUUGUGAUUCGAAAUGCUUGAGUGCAGCUUCCAUGCGAACUGCCUAAGCUCAAAAGAUUUGUUUGCUGAAGUUUCAAACCUUUGAUGUUUUGCUAAUUUUUCUGUUUGAAUGAAGUUGCUAAUUUUUCUGUUUGUUUGAAUAAAGUUGCUAAGUUUUCUGUUUGUUGGGUCUGAAUGAAAUUGGUUGGUUUGGAAAAUUUGAUCACGGUUGUGAUUAAGAAGCUUGAGCUUGAGAAGAAAGUGCAGCAGUCUUCGGUUGCUAGAGUAUGUGAAGUAAUUGCAGAAACUUGUUUCAUGGCUAUUGCAUAGAACUUGCAUGUUUUUUCCUUCUAAAUUUUCUACCUGUUGAGGCGAUGGUGAUGACAUAGUUUGCAGCUUAGUUAAAGCUAUGUAUGUGAGCUUGAGAUCUGUUUUUUUUUGGAAAAUAAGAUGUGAGUUUGAAUUGGGUUUCGUUUGAGCAAACAUGAGAGAAAAUAUUGCAGAAACUCACUUUGAAUUUGAUUUACCUGUUUGUUUGGUUGUUAGAUUCAUGCUUUAAUGUGUUGGUUAGAAGAUUUUUCGAUCAAAAUGGUGUUAAGGUUGAGAAAAUGAAAGUCACGGUUGUCUUCUGGGUUGCCGAAAGCUUUCAGCAGAAAUUUCUGCUGCAGAAUGUUGUUUCUCAUGUUGAUUUUCACGUAGCUUGCAUGGGUUUUGCAUGAAAUAAUUUCUGAAAAUUACAUUUUUAACCCCCCAAGUCCCCUCUUGACUCACUAGGGCCCAAGUAAUUGGAACAUUUAAUCAAUUUGAUCCUUUUAAGUUUCUUUUUGUUCCACAAGAGCCCAAGCAUGUUCUAGUAUCUUGUAAUUAAGUCCUAAAAUCAUUGCAACUUCAAUCUUUGUUUGACUUUUCCUUUAUUUUUAAGAUCUUUGAAGUGCUUAAACGAUUUAUUUGGACUUGAAUGUUCGAGUAAUGCUUGUUUUGGGUCUUUAGUAGAUGCUAUAUUUGGAAAUUGAACGGGUUAUUCCGUUUUCUUGGUCUUUAAGCAUUUUUUGAGCUCAUUCAAGUUGCAAUUAGGUGGUUUUUGAUGUUUUUGCUUAUACUUUACUUUUAAAUUGAUGCCUUGACCCCUUUAUUGUUUUGAAGCCAUUUUCCUUCAUUUGCUUACCAUUAGGGGAAGGUAUAACUUUCUUUUAUCCUCUUUACUUCUCUCUUACGUGCUCCUACGUGUUACGUGAAUUGCAUGUCUACUUGGCUUUCUUAAGUUUUCUUUAAUUCCUUUCAUUUUUAAGUCUUUCUUUUAUUUAUGGGGUAUGUGUACACCUCUUGGCUUGUAAUAGAUAGGGCAUUGGAGAGCACUUUGUCCAUUUUUCCCCCUUCCCCCAUUUGUCUUAGUUAGCCCAUGUAAUAGUUUCAUUUGCUUUUGGGGUAUUAUUUGGUUUGCUAUGUGUUUAAUUUGCUUUAUUAAGCUAUUGCAUCUAGUCGAGCAUGCUAAGUGUUAUGUGCUACGUGUUAUAAGUGAUUUUGCAUGUCUACUUGCUUUCUAUAUUUAUAAAUGAAUGUGAUGGAUGAAUGUACGUUUCCACUAGUCCAACGCUAGUCGGAAUUCAUAGAAUGGGCUAGUCCAACGCUAGACCCUUAGGGACUUCCCCUCGUUAGUACAUGUUUGCAUGUUCAUUACAUGUCAUGCAUUUUUUUUAAAUUUUAUCAUUUUGCAUGCCCCUCGAACCCCUUUUCCCUCCAUUUUAGGAUUUUUGCAUUUCAUACUAGUUAUAGGGUUCAUCUGCUUGAGGGUCCCCUUAAAUAUGGGAUAUAGACGAGUGUGGCUUUUUCUAAGCCUUAGCACGCUUGUAUUCCCUCUAUAAAAGGGCAAAUUGAAUCACGAUUUAGGUCUCCCCGUACCCAAUAUGCAUGAAUUCCCUAGGCUCAUGCAUUUUCAAAUCCACUCUACCAUUUUAUACCCUCAUCACACUUUCAUUUUUCCUCCCAUUUUGCACACGUGCAUCUUUAUUUUUUCUUCACUUGCACACGAACACUUUUAUCAUCACUUGCACACAUGCACUUCAUAUUAUCAUUUCACAUACCGUACCUUGCCCACUCACGUGCACAUUUUCAUUUACAUAUUUAUUGUUUUUUAUUACUUUUUCAAACUCAUGUCCUCACAUUGCAUACAUGCAUUUCAUUCAUUUGCAUCCCACUCGCAUUAUUCGUGACCUCUCCAAAGGGUCAUUAUUGGGCUUCACAAUUAAUGUGAUUGGCACCAUUCAACCUUUGAAGAGAAAUUUUCCCCAAUACCCCUAGGUCUAGGGUUUGCAUUCAUAUAGUACAUCCAAAUGUAAUAAAUUUUUUGGUUAAAACAAGAAAAUAUUUGAUUAAAUCACGCAACUAGCCUUGGCUAGGUCGAAGGGGUGCCUUGGAUUUUUAUCCUUGCCUUCCCCUUCGUCAAAUGUGACUCCCGAACCUUUUUCGUUGGUUUACGUGGACUAGGAGUCGUUUAAAAGGGGUUUCUUAAUAUUUUCUCCUAUUUUUCUUUAAAAAUUCAUUUUUAGGUGACUUGGUACACCUUAACUCAUUACCAAGUGGCGACUCCGAUUUUUUACUUCAAAAACCCUUUUUAAACUAUAAUUUUGGGUCAAAUCGUCGCAUUCUCAAGCCCCCAUUUAGACCCAUUUUUCUUUUAAAUAACAAUUCAUUUUCCAAUCACAAAUUGAAUCAAAAAAUACAUUUUCUCAAACCAUUUAUUUAUUUAUCAAAAAAUGGGGCGCGACAGUUGGCGACUCCACUGGGGACUUAUCCAAUCCACUCUCAAAUCUACAACCACAUAAGCUUAAAACUUUUAGCGAGCUAGCGAGCAAAACCGAUUGCGGAACGCUAAAAAUGUCUAUCUGAGCCCGACAAACUAUCAAUGCAAACAGCAAGUUCUGGAGCAGUCCUGUCUACUGCUAUACCAAUCCAUUGGUCCAUAUUAGGCAUCAACAACUCCAUAUCAGGGAAGUCAAUAUACAAUUGAAAUCUUUGUACGCAAAAUCUAGUUGCAAGCGCCGACAAAUGGAAUUUCCAGCAAGAAUCAAGAAAUCAUGUUUUCGCUUUUUUAUAUGCAAGUCACCAAGAACUUGCUCUUGUUCUGUGACUGAAUUAUCAUAGAAAAAGUGGAAUACAAGAUAAGGAUAAGUGGACCAGGUGCGAUUCCAAGUCUUUGACAAUAUUGCAGUAGAGGUAACAUCUCUGGCACGCAGAUAAGAUAAAAUGUGAUGAAUCACGGAAUCAGGCAACCGCGAGAUGAAGUCCAAAGGGGCAAUCUCCAAACCAGAUCUCUCCUGCUCACAUUCCUCUAUUAUUAACCAACAAAAGCGUUCAUUGACCAGUUAGAACUCAAAUUUCAUCUGUCACUCAUUUACGAACUAAUUCCAACUCCAAUAUGCUUGAUAAUCAAAACAGAACCAAUUAGAACUCAAACGUUCAUUAUUCAUUCAUAAUUAUACACUAAUAUGAACUGAAACGUGCUGGAUUAUCAAAGUUAUGCGCUAAUUUGAAACUCAAACAGUUCCUUAUUUAUUGACGACCAUACACAAAUUCGAACUCCAACGUGCUGAUUCACUACAAUUAUAUGCUAAUCAAAAUCAAAAGUCUUCAUCCAUUCAUGAUUAUAAAGUAAUCAGACUAAAUGGUGCAGGAUUAUUACAAUUAAGCAACUGAAGCAUUUAUAGAAAGAAAGUUUACAGAGUACCUGAUUCCAUGAAGGGCAAGCCGGCAAAGACUUUGAAUCCCGAAGGCGAACCUGAUUAUAUCAGUAAAUGUUAUAAAGUUAGCGAGGAAAUCUAUUUAAAUUAAGCAAGCCAUAAGAAGAUUGCAAAUUCCAGCUGACUUUGUGAAUUAUAAUGUUGAGCAGAAAAUAAAGCAUGAUCAUAAGGAUGACCAAAAGUACCUGAAAAUAAUUAAUAGCCUCUGUAAUUUAGCCCCAAUUCCCGGAACAUGUAGACGACGGGAGCGACGGUCAAUUAAGAUUAGCCACAUAUUGUGGCAAGUACGAGGGAGGAAGGGGUAAGGGGUAAGGGGAGAUGGUCAACUAAGACCAGCCACAUAUUGUGACAAGUAUGAGGGAGGCAGGGGUAGAACCCCUGACCUCCAACAUCACCAAAGAGGGUGAUGACUACUGGACCAAAUGGCCAGUGGCGAGAAUAGAGAUACUACAUAGCAUGAAACUGUGAAUACACGUAGUUGGGUAGUAGACUACUAGUUUCUUUCAUUAGUUUUCCUUGACAAAAUAUUUUUGGCUCCGUUUGAAUUAAUUACUUUUUUUUUAUAUUUUUAAAACAUUUUACUGCAACAGUGUAUAUGAAAAAUUUUGAUUGUAAAUUUUUUUGUGAUAUUUUUGAAUAAAUUUUUAAAAUAUAUUUUGGAGUACCUUUUAAAAUUAAAAUAUUUUUAAAGUACUUCUUAAAAAUUAAUACUAUCACCCACAACCACAAAUAACCACCAACACCACCUCCACCACCCACUCCUUCCUCCUUUCUCUUCCCCUCUCUUCCCUUUCCCUGCCCCACCCCCUUAAUCUGGCAGCAACCAAAGGCUGCGAUCUGGUCGCGGCCAGAAAGUCUAGUAUCGACUAGAUUGCGGCCUCUAGUCACAACUAGAGACCUUGAUCUGGUCUUUGGCAGAUUGAGGGAGGAAGAAAUGAGAGGGGGGUAUUGGUGGUAGGCGGGGAUGGUGGUGGGUGGUGGUGGCGAGUAGUGGUGGUGAUAGGUGGAAAAUGUUAUAUAAUUCAAUUUUAAAAAUUUUUUUGUGUAUAUUUGUGAAUUAUUUUUUAUAUAUUGUAUGGAUGAGAUGUUUUUGAGUUGUUUUAUUUGUGUAUUAUUCUAGCAUUGUAUUUGAAAAUUUUGUUUUUGAAAAAUAGAUUUUUGGAUUUUUUAGUAGAAAAAUAUACUAUAUCAAUUUGAUGUAUGUGAGAUAAAAAUGUUUUGAAAAAUAUGAUCAUAAAAAAUAUUAAAAAAAAUUUCUGCAGAAAAACUUCAAGGAAUUUCUAGAGAAAAAGAAAUCCAAAAUCCUAAUUUUUUCCUUUUGUUUUUAGAAAAGGAAAAAGUGCAAGCCAAAAAGCAAUAAAAUGGAUAACUUCUUUUCAUAUGAAUAUAUGAUGUUAAGUACUUUAUGUACUCAUAAAACCCAUAUUUUGGUUUAAGAAAAGCAAUACCUAAUGAAAUUGUAAAAUGAGAACGGUAACAAAGAUUAUAGUCUAAAGUACUCGUUUGAUAGGCUAGUGCAAUUUGGCGUUUCACUUGUACGCUUCAAAUGCACAUCAUCAAUCAGGUAUCCGGACGCUUGGCUAUGCAACUUGAACAAUCAUCACAUGUAGAACUGAGGGGGCGCUUGGUUCAAGUUUAGGAAUUGGAAUUGUAAUUGGAAUCAUAGACUCUGGUUUUGGAAUUAAAACUUUUCAUUCCAAUAUCUUGCUUGGUUCACACAUUGGAAUUAGCAUUAUUCCAAUUCCUGAUGCUUGGUUUGAUGAGUGUUUCGGAAUUAAAUGCAAUUAAAUUCCAAAUUUACCCCUGAUAUAACAAUUCUUCUAAAACAAAAGAAUUACACAUACGACAAAUUAACAUUUUCAUAAUUGUAACUACAAUAGUUAUUAACUUUUUAAAAACAUAAGAAAAUCAUAAAUAAUAAAAAAAUUAAUACCAAAAAUAAAUAUAGUGUGCUGCAUUAACAAGGAGUAAAUUCCCAAAAAAAGGAGUUUUUAAACAAUCACCCAAAAGGUGACGAUUUUUGAGUCUCUUCCAAAGGGUGAAAAAUGCAUCCAAGGAAUGUGUUCUUCCAAAUAUGUUUUGGAAAUUUGUUUAAAUAUGAAAAAUUGGUUAAAUAGCCCAUAAGAUACCAGCUCUUUAUGGAAACUGGCAGGUUUUGUACCAGCUUUAUGGAAAAAUUGAUUAAAUAGUGCCCAAAGGAAAACUAGUAUGUUUUGUAUUUAACAUAAAUUAAAUAUGUGAAAGUUAAAAAAAAAAAUUGCCCAUAAGAUACCAGCUCUUUAAGGGAAACUGGCAGGUUUUGUAGUAUGUUUUGUACCAACUCUUUAUGGAAAACAUACCAACUCUUUAUGGAAAAAAUUGAUUAAAUAGCGCCCAAAGGAAAACUAGUAUGUUUUGUAUUUAACAUAAAUUAAAUAUGUGAAAGUUAAAAAAAAAAAGAAAUUACUCAUAAGAUACCAGCUCUUUAUGGGAAAUUAGCAGGUUUUGUAUUUAAUACGCUAUUUAACCAAUUUUUUUAUUUAAACAAAUUUACGAAAAUUAAAAUAACGUAUUUGAAAGUUGCAUUUUUAUUUGGAAGAACGCAUUUCUUGAAUGUGUUUUUCAUCCUUUGGGAAGAGACUCAAAAAUUGCCAGCCUUUAGGAAGUUAGUUUAAAAACUCUUUCUUUUUGGAAAUUUACUCCAUUAACAAGUCGUUUGUGGUUCCUACAUUAGAUAAUGAUAUGAAAUAGAUCUCUCCUUACAUAUAUGAACAAAAGAAGGAGACUCAAAUCACAAAAGCUAACCAUACCAAAUACAAAUCAAUUGUCUAAUCCAGUCGAGAGUGCCACUCAAUGUCCACAAUCUCCAAAAGACUAAUCAUAUAACCAUCUAACAAUCACCAUAACAAAAAGAAAUUGCCAUCAAAUCAUCACUUUCCAGCUAACAAUAAUUUUACUUCAGCGAGUAGAUGGAGGAUAAAGGAGGUUAAUUACAUAUUGUCGUUUCAUUUCUGCAGGAAGAUUGUAGAACACAUGAAGCUUGGAAAUCUGCUCCGAAAGUAUGUCGGCUGCAUUCAUUACAUCUCCACUCGGUAAAGCAAGUUUCAUUAACUCAGCAACAACUUGAUCUCUUCUAUCGGAGACCAAUUGCUCACGUUUAUCCUCAUUUGACAUGGCUGCUGCCAUAGUUGUGAAAUUAGCUUGAAUUCCCUCCACGAAAUCUCCAAAUUUGCUGGUGAGAAGUUGCAAUGAUGCAUCAAGAUCACCCCUUGUUGUUGAUGCAGAUUUCAUUUUUUUUGACACAUUUGCAAUGGGAGGGGAUUGUUUCUUUUGUUUCUUGGAAUUUCUUGUGCUUGUUGAGCUUGGUUGAGUUGAUUGCUCCAUGGAAUUUACUUCAUCUUCUUCUACCUUAUCAUUAUCCGAGUUUGACAUAGCAUCAAGCCCUUCAUCUCCUUCCUCCAAAUUUUGGACAUCUUCCAUAUCUUGGACAGCUUGUGCAAAAUCUUCAGCAACAUUUCCAGUGGCUCUGUCUCUUCCAUAUACAAUUUCAAGAUCUCCUAAAUAUGGAAAUUUGACAUCCCAAAGGCCCUUCGCAUCCUUAUGAGUCUAGAGAUAGAAUAGAAAGAUAAAUGAUAAUCUUAAUAAAAGGUUGAAAAAGAACAUAUCAGAAUGUAAAAAGUAAUCAAUUUCUUACCUUGCACCAAUCAUCAUACCACUGUUUUUCACAAGAAAUCUUUUUCUCAGCAUCAUUCCAACUACAACCACUUUCUUUGCACAUUUCAACAAUUGCAUGGAACCUAUUUUUCAGCCACUUAACUUUUGAUUCAAUAUGUGGGCUGACUUGUUUGGUAAAAGUAGGUUGCUUACGCAAGAUAAUUUUAAGCAAUUCGCUCAUAUAAUUAUUUUUAAAUCCUCCAUCUGAUUUCCACAUUGGAUCACAAGCCAACUCUUGCAAUGAUUCUAUGAGCACUUUUACCUCUUCACCAGUCCAAAAACAUUUAUUUUUCCCUCUUCCACGUACAAUUUCAUCAUUCUCCAUCCUAUCAUUUAGAAGUCAACCCAUAUAUAUCAAUUAAUUUUGAUACACAAUAGCAUAUAACUGAAAUUUAUAAUAUAACAAAACACAUAAAAGAACAUACAAUUAAAAGUCAAUCCAAAUUUAAAAGAACAUACAUCAAGUGUCAAUCUAAUUCACAAAUCCACUACAAGAGUACAUCAAAUGUCAAUCCAAAUUUAAUGAGUCUAAGAGCUAAACAUCCAUUCAUAGCUAAAUACUAAGUCCAGCCCUCCAAUUGUCAAACAUUUCAUGUGCUAAAUUAUUUCUAAAAUUUGCCCAUUGAUCACUUGGCAAAAUAGUGGAUAUGUACUCUACUUCUUCAUCACUGUCUUCAUCUUCACUUUCAUUUUCUUCACUUUGUAGUAAUUCUUGUGGAUCAAAAGUCAUGAACUUCCUUAUCAAGUUGUGCAGCAGACAACAUGCCAUAAUUAUUCGCACUUGUGUUUGAAUUGGAAAAAAUGAAGGGGAUGCUAGAAUCUUCCACCUUCCUUUUAGCAAUCCAAAACAUCUUUCUAUGAUAUUUCUAGCUUUAGAAUGUUUCAUGUUGAAAUAUUCCUCUGGUCUUUGUGGUCGAUAACCAUUGAAUUCAUUAAGGUGAUAUCUUUGCCCUCGAUAAGGGGCAAGAAAUCCAUCAGCAUUACAAUAUCCAGCAUCCACCAAGUAAUAACAACCUUCAAAAUUCAAUCAUGUACAAAUUAAUACUAGACUACCUUAUUUUCGAAAAAAAAUUGAUUGAAUGGUAUUGAAUACUGCAAUAUAUGUUUACCUUGUGGGACUCUAAGACCAUUUGGUCUAGAGAUAGCAUUUCGAAGCACACGACCAUCAUGUGCCGAACCUUCCCAACCAGGCAAGACAUAGAUAAAUUGCAUAUUAGGAGAACAAACCCUAAUACAUUCGUUGCAAUACUUCCUUUUCUCGUUCGGUAUCUUGAUUUUUGUUCGGUGGGUGGUGUCACAUCUAUUAAUGUCCCAUCUAAGGCACCUAAACAAUUCUAUUUUAACAAAAAUAAAAAAUAUAAAUGAGUUAAAAUGUCUAUAUUGGAUAGUUUAGAUGAAAACAUACAUUUUAUUAAAUGAUUGUAUUUUAAUGUUUGAAUUACCUUAAAACAUUUCCAUCUCUCAUCUGUGCAAUCUUCGGUAAUAGGCUCAGGCUUCUUAAGUAAUAUAGUAUGCAAUUUCAAAACUGCUAGGAGGCAAAGAUUAAAUUGACGACUCACCGUUUCUCUACUUCUCCAAAAUAGACCACAAAUUGUUCUACUUUUCUUGUGGUGAGCCAAAACAUAUACAAACAUGGCAACAAUUUCUUCUAUUGACAUGUUUCUUGUAGCUUUCAAACCUCCAGUGUCUCUAAUCAUUUCACAUAAUAUCCCAAAUGUUCGUCUAUCCAUACGAAGUUCGCUAAUACAAUAAGCAUCACUCUCCCUAGUCAAAUUGAAUAAGUGUUGCAUGCGCUCAGUGACUUUUUCUUCUUUUGAUUUUAUUUGGCGUCUUCUACUUUUGAGAUGAAUGAAUAUUAACUGGUACCACAUCAUAAACAGUGCAAUAACAACCAUUAUCAUUCCUGAUAAAAUCUGGCUUUGCCCUCGAUAUUUUUUGCGUCUUCUGUUUUCAAUAGGCAAACGUGGCAUCUUUGUCUACAUAACAAUAUGACAACCAAACGUAAGUAUUCACCAAACUAGAUUACGGCAUCAAAAUCUUCAAAUGCAUUAAACAUCAAUUGAUCUUAUUAAAAGGGCCUAGACAUGCAUCAUACAUCCGUAAACACAAUGAUGUAUAGAUAUAAAUAAGCAUAAACAAACGAAAUUGAUGGUUGAAACUUGAAAUCCUAAUGUACGAAUAACUAUGAAACUGAAAGCUAUUCAAGCAGACAAUUUUACAAACAGGUACAGGGCAUGUAGAAACCCACCCAAACUAUACCAGUAUUCACGGAUCAAAUAACCAAAAGAUCAAGAAUUGAUUGACCUCCAUUGAAUGCGUAAUCCAAGAAAACACAUUAAAAAAUAAAAAUGACAAAUCUAGUGACAUUAACAUUUAUCUCACCAAAAAAAAGAACAAAAUAAUGUAUUUGUUGAAGUAAGUGAAUUAAAAUACAUGUAUUACAACAAAAUACAUGGAUUAAAAACAUGUAUUAUUCUCACCAAUAAUAGUGUAUUUGUUGCGGAAAUAAUUUCUUAUUGGAUUUUGUGACAAAAGAAUAUGAAUUCAUGGAAGGAAGACUUUUUUGCAAAACUGACAGAUUGUGUAGCGUGAGUGGAAUAAAAGUGAGAAGGUGAUGGGUCCAGAGCAUAGCAUUUUGGUCCAGUUAGUGUUAUUGUAUCAGAUUCCCUUCUUUUCUUCUUUAUUUUCAGUUACCCAGUGAGUAGCCUGAAAAAAACAGAGAAGAAGAAAGAGAAAAGCUUGCAUACGAAAAGAAAAUUGAAGAGGCAAGGGAAUUUGUAAUCCACUGACCUGGGAUCAAGGAAUUCACCCUAGUAGAAGACUCUUCAACUCUAGAAUUCGUUGUCCAAGGAGAGUCGAAAGCCACUGAUCAUUAUGGUUGUCCAAUCGGUGAAGUAGAAGCGGUAGAAAAUCUGAUGAAGAAGAAGAACAGAAGGUGCGGAGUGUAAUGAAAAAAAAAAAGAGGGUAGGUUCGUCAUAAAUGUUUUUGCUCGGGAAUGAGUUGGGGGUUUUGUCCAAAACCUCCCAAUUUACUCAGGAAUGGUGAAAGUCCGAUUUUUUAGAAAUGAUUCCAGAAAUUGCAUUCCAAUAGACUUAACCCAAGUAACAAAUAAGGGGUUCAUUCCAUUAUUUGAUUCCCAAACCUUUUAACCAAGCAGCCCUGACUUUAUUCUAGUAUUUUAUAGGAAAAUAUGUACUCAAUUAGCCUGAAGUGAAUUAAAUCAUGAUUGUCAGCAUUUUAAACUUUUGAUGGUGAAGGCCUUAAUUGCUUGACAACUCCCAUGAUUAUUAUGGCUAAACUACUCAAGUUGCCUCGUUAUACUUCAAAAAAAAAAAUUCUCAAUUCAACCUUUAACACUAAGAAGUGACUUGAUUUAAUCCCUUGGAAAUAACUCAUGUCAUUUUUAUGUUGAAUUAGUAGCCAAAAGAUUUAAUCGUGUAUUUGCAAUAUAACGGGGUCUAUGUGUUAUAUUAACGAUAUAUUGUUGAUGAUGAGACUAUAUGAAUUCCAAUUCUUUCAGCAAAGGUGAUAUCCAAACAACAAAAUUUCUUCAAAGACAUCUAAUAAAGAGAUUACCAAGUACCCAUGUUAUUGUUUAAGCAAUAUUAGUAUGUUUUCAUAAACAGCAUUUUAUUUGGGUUGAAAUCAAAUCAACACCUAUAUGCAUUUCAUAAACAGCAUUUUAUGAGGGAUGAAUGAGGAUGUAGGGAGAGGGACAAAACGGAGAGGUGGAGGUGGGCUGAGUUUCUUCUGUUGAGAAGAGUCGAAGUCUCUUGAAAACCGAAGCAGAUACCGCUUGAGAUGAAAAAGGACUGAGGGUGAAGAAGAGGAAGAAGAGGAUGAUGAAGAUGUUAACGGAAGGAAAUGGGCUUGCAGCUUUUCGAGCCAUGUAAAUGUUUGUGGUUUUUGCCGCAGCAGCACAACAAACAAAGAAGAGAAGUGAUGAGAAGUUUGGGAGAUGAGCAUGGGUUUAUUAUAUACACGUACGUUGAUCUGCACGCAGGGCAUCAUCAGUAGCGUGUUACUAUUAUUUAUUGAAGGUCCAUAUCAAAAAAAAAAUUUUGAUAACAAAGGUCCAUAUCAAUUUAAUUUCCAUAGAAAAGUAAAAGUUUGGUACCUUAACAUACAAGAAAGAGAGUACAUACACAAUUAAUCGCCAGUCCUUCAAAUCAAGAUAUGUACAAUGUGUAAGUGAGAAUGUACAACUGAUAUUCCUAGUCUACGAGCAGGGGCGGAGCCAGAAAAAAUUCUUAGUAGGGGCAAAGCAACACUAAAAUUUUUUACCUACUCUUUUUCUAGUUUUUAAGCAAAAAAAAAAAAAAUCACCAACAAGUACAAAUGAUACAUAUAUUCCAUGAAAAAUAUAAAAAGACAAAUUCAAAAUUAUUAAUGUAAUAAUAAUUUUAUUUCAAAAAUAAAUUACACUAUUUACAAUUGCUCACUGCGAGUUUUUAUAUUUUGAUAACUAAUUUGGUUAUAGAAGUAAGAAUGGCUCUCGGUUGUGGAGGGAAAAUAGGGGACCAGUGGAAGGAAGGGAAAUUGGGAAGUGGGGACAAAGGAAGUGAAUGAUAUGAUUGGAUGAAUUGAUCAAGAGAAAGAGUAGCUAGCUGCUUGGUUGUGGAAGGUAGUGGCUCUCGGUUGUGGGGAGAAAAUGGGGGACCAGAUGAGGGAAGGGAAAUUGGGGAGUAGGGCCCAAAGAAAGUGAAUGAUAUUAUUGGUACUUGCUAAUUAAAAUGAAAAGGCUUUUUUUAGCUUAUUUCAAAUGGAAUUUGUGCCCCACGUAUCUUUUUAGAAUUUUAGUUUAUGAAGUAAUUUAAAAAAUCACGUAAUUCUUUCACAUUCUUUCUAAAAAAACUCUGGGGGCACAUUUAAAAUUAUAUUAAAAUUGUACAAAUAUUAUAAGAAUUUAAGGGGGCAGUGGGGGCCCGUUGCUCCCAGUGCCCCCACCUUAAGGCUUCCUUUAGAUGGAGAGAAAAGGAUAGAAAAGAAAGUGACUAGAGAGACAGCCGUACCAUUUCCUUCAUUUGGGAGUUUUAACAUGGACAGGAGAGAAGGGAAACAAACGGAUAGGACCCCCUCCAAUUGGUGAAAAUUUUUCCGCCCAAAAGUGGGAAGAAAAGGACGGAAACUUGUUGGGCGGCAAAAGGUAUUUUUAAUAUGACAUUUUUUGUCCUUUAAAAGCUGAUACAAAAAUUUAUUAUUCCCAAUAUAUCCUAAAGUUCAUUAGUAAAACCACCAAUUCAUCUUUUUCUCAGCUCUUACUUUCAAUACUUCCAACGAGAUUCACCUGACUUUCUUCCGUUCAACACCCACAAUUCAAUAACAGGUAUUUUUUUGACUCAAUCUCUUCUUUCUUUCUUUCUUUGCUCAAUCUUCUUUAGAAAAUUAUGGAAAAAGCAUUUUUUGUGUAGAUUGUUAUUGUUUAUAUUCUAAAUUUUUUGUUCAUUUUCUGUCAUAAAAUUCUUGUCUGCGGGAAAUCUUGAUCUUUAUAUUAUUGAUUUGUGAUUAUAUCUUGCAUUGUUAUGGUACAUGUAAGUUUCAGUGGUGAUACAUGAAUAUGAAAUUUAAAUGCAUACAUUUUGUUUGUUUAUUUGCCCGUGUAAGCUUCAAAGUGUAAAUGAUCAACACAGAGUCCAUAAACAAUAUGUUAGCCUUUUUUAUUGUAAUAAUGCAUGUUUCUUUGAAAUGAUUACAAAGAUAGUAAUACUAGAAGUAUUGUUUUGAAUGGAGGCUGAUGUACAAAAACAAAAUUAGAGAUCUCCUUAUUCAUCAUCCCCAAGAGGUUUCAUGCUUGUCCCUGCUCAAGUUACGAUCCUGGGUAUAUAAUAAGCCUUAAAUUACCUUAAAAACAGUCCAACGUAAGGAUUGGUAAUAGCAGAGUUUAAAACUGUCGAAGCUUCUGCAAGUCUGGCCAUGUAAACUUUGUCUUUAGAUAGGUACAAAAAUUCGGAAUUCAAUUAUCUCAAACCCACAGAGUUCGACAAACUUGACACAUUCUUUAAAUUUUCAUACAUUGCUCUGUUAUUACAAAUAAAUUAAUCAAGUAUACAAUAUAGUAGGUAAAAAAAAAACUUUGAAUCCUACAUUAUUAGUAGAUACUCACGGUGCAAAAAAAAAAAGUUUCACAAGAAUUGAGGGCUAUAAUAGUCAUACAAAUUAUGUACGUGCAAAAUCCCAAGGGAACAUACAUCUUCAAAGGCACCACAUUGCUUUUCUUGAUAUUGGUUCUUGACAUGCAGCCAAACCAGAGUCUAUGACAUGCAGCCAAACCAUACUCAACCAAUUUAUAGUGGUGAAAUACAAUCACAAAUUGUGCUUGCUUGUUGUAUAUUACAUAAUUUUCUCAUGGAGUUUGAUCCUGACUUGGAGUACAUUAAUGAAGUGGAUGAGGAAUUGGCACGUCAAUCUCCAUCGGAGGAAGAAAGUGGUGAUAUAAGUGCUGAAAAAGAUCAUGCUCAAGGAGAGAGUUUAAGGAAUGAAAUAGCAAUGCAAAUGUUUUGAAGAUGAUUCCAAUUACCCACUGGUCAUUUCAUGUUUUGAAAAUAUGUAGAUCAUUGGGUGUAUUUUUGUUUAGAAAUUGAUAGAAUUGCUUUGUAUCAGGAGUAAAUGCUCAUGUGAAUUCGGAAAUCUGAAUGCAACAGGAAACCUAGUUGCAUUCCAUGUAAACCUGGUUUAUGUAUAUUUUGAGUUCACUUGGUUGCAUGGCAUUUUAUUUACUUGGGUUGCAUUCCACGUAUAUCUUGUUUAUGUAUUUUAUGGUACCAUGCACCUCCUUGCUUAAUUAUUUGUUGUUUUCACCAAUCUUUGCUUCAGAAAGCAAACAGACUGGCUAACAUAUAUAUGGCUGAAACCUGAGUUUAUCACUAAUGUUUCAGCUUAGCAAGUGGUAAACCUGAGUUUCAACUUAGCAAACUAAAGCUAAAAAUAAUAGACAGUUGAGCAGCUGUUAAAGCUAAAUAAGAUCUCAUCAGGAUGGCACUCUACUUUUACAUCACUGCUUCCUUCUUCUUCAGCCUGCAGUCUUUUCUUGUUAAGAAUUAUUACUCUUUGGGUUCAAGGAUAUUUCCCAAAGAAAUUAAAGGUUUUAGAUUUAUUGUGUGUGAGUAGGUUUAUGUAAAAAUCGCCGCAUUUCAGCUUCCAAUUCAUUCUUACAACAAUGUGAGUACAAGAUUUGGGUGAAACUUGAACCAAUAGAGGUAAUUACCGUGAAUUAGAGUGGAGGAUACAUUUAUGAGGGAGUCUCCAACGGACAGCUGAAAAGUGAAGGAGAGGUAAACGGAUUAAAUGAUUCAAAGUAAAAUGCUCAUAAAUAGCAAAUAGUUUGUUCAUCUAAUGGAAGAAACUCGUAAAGAGCUGGUAUGUUAUGAACAAUUUUUUUUUUUUACUUUCAAAUACUUCAUUUAUAUUAAAUACAAAACAUGCUAGUUUUUCUUUCGUAAAAAUAUUUGUGUAACGGCUUUUGAAUUUUGUUUGCAAAUAUUUAUGUAUUUAACAUAAAUUAAAUGAUUCAGAAUAAAAUGCCCAUAAAAACUUGGGUACUCCGUUCUUAUAAUGGAGGAAAGCCAUAAAGAACUAGUAUUUUAUUGAAAACGAGUUUAUUUUUAGUUUAUCCGAUAAAUAAAUUUGUUAGUAAUAUUUUUUACAUUAAAAACGGGUUUAUUUCUAGUCUUGGUUAGUAAUCGUCAGUCUUAUUCAUCAAAAUGGUAUUGGAAUGAUUUUUCUUUUAAAAAAAAAAGAUCAAAUGAUGAAAACUUUCAAUAUUAAAUGCCAGACGUCAUGCUUGUCAGUGCAUUAACUAUCAACAAAUAAAAUUUUAUAAACAUUAGGAUGGAUCAAGUGGUGAAGAAGUGAAGAUUGAGAUAAUCUAAUAAUUAGUAGUAAACUUGAGUUUCAGCUUAGCAAAAACACUAGCUGAAACAUGUACAAUGGCAUUUCCGGUCAAUAUCAAAAUCAUAUGUCAAGAAUACCUAAAAGAUACUACAACGACUUGAGGCGAUUUACAUGCAUGCAAGAGAAUCGAAGUCCAGUAAGAAAUUUGUUGUAUUAUUCACCUUGUGGGAAUGCAUAUGCAAUUGUUUUAGAAAUUUGUUUUGUCCAAAUAUUCUAUUUAUGGGAACAAGAAAGCUAAUUUUUGGACUUUGAUUUACAAAUAGAAAGGGCAAAUAUGUAAAGUUGUAUUCUCAUAAAAUCCUUUCUUUCCAUAUCUCUCCAACUCUCAAAUAAGAGAAAGAUAUUUCUUUUCUUUUUUUUCAUUAAGCUCCCAAACGAAAUAUGCAUCUUUUCCCUUCUCUUCCUUUCUUUCCUAAGCUAUCUUUUCUUUUCUUUUCUCUUCCUUCAUAAACUCCCAAACUAAGCCUAAAUCCGCCCCGGUCCACGAGUGUCGUUACCGUAUGAAAGAAAGGGAAAGAACGAGAAGAUUUUAACAAACUUUAGUAGGCUUUUAAUCGAAAUUUUGAGUUCUGGGAGGGAAGACUUUUUAGAGUCUUGCAGGCAUCCGCUGCAUCGCGAUAGUUGGCCUUUCUGAUACAGGCAUAUCAAAAAGGAAUCAAAUUGGAAUUUACGGUGGAAACAAGGUAGAUGCGCCAACGGCAGCUGGUGUUUCAUUUUCAUGAUGCAAACUGGGGAAAUGUUGGAGCAUUAUGCAUCCAUGCCAUUAGAUAUAUAGUGGGCUUGAUGUUAUACAAUGCAAAUUUUCUUAAAAAAAAACUUUAAAUCAAAAUAAAUCUUGACCUAUCAAUUAUUGAUUUAAGCUAUCAAAACAUUGGCAUGUAACAUGCAAAUAAGCGUUGCUCAUAGGGCAUCAUUCCUUUCCGUCUCACACGCAGAUUAGUCCAUUGGUGGUUCUUUCUUUCCUUUUUUUUUUUUUUUUUUGAAUAUUUGGUACAUAGAGGCUCCAACUUUUACAAGGAGAAGGAAAAAUAGGAGAGUUUAAGGGUCAAGACCUUACGGUCAGUCACCUAAAAGCAUCCGUGCCAAUUGAGUUGAGUUUUGGGAACAAAAUUUUGGCCUUUCCAUUAUAGCAGGAUACAACUAAAUGCCCGGAUUAAUUAACUCAAUUUCCAUAAAUUUAAAAAAAAGAGUAAGAAAUUGGUACCUCUGAUCAAUUCCAAGGGUAGAUAUAUAAUAUAAUUAUUAGUCCUUCAAAUGGAGACGAGUGUCAGUAGACUUAAAAGGAGUCCAUGAUAUUGAUAGUUGGUCUUUUGGUCACAAUAAUUAUUUCGAGAUGUUUGAUUCUUCGUAAUGUGGAAUAACUUUCCUCCAGACAUUCUAAAGAAACAUGAUGGAACAAGUUGCUGUUUGUGAGGUCGUAUUAAUCCUGGUGGGAACCUCUCUUGCGCAAGGAUUUUUGGGUAAUGAAUUGAUCUUUCAAGAAAAACGCUACUAUUUACAAAAACAAGUAUUUUUAUGUUUUUCUUCAUUUGUGUUCAAUUCAAUUCUCUAUAAUGUAUAUUAAUAGUACUAUUUAUCUAGAGGGAGCACCUUCAUGAAUGGACUAUCUCUAGAGGUUCUCCUUCACAUUUGACGCGCAGAUUACGCCAUUAGGCAAUUCGGGCGGCUGAGCGGUCAACACAAGGCAACAUCAAAACGUAAAACAGAUGUAAUAGAUGGGAGAAAUUUCUUUGAAACUCCAAAAUGUGAUUGUCGAGUAGAUUAAUGCGAGUCUUAUGAAUUGAUUACAUUUUCAAUCAAUUCAAUCUCCGGAUAAACAUGCAUGCUAUGCCCAAAUAUAGCUCUGUCCUGGUUUUCACGGUACAAGCACUUCUUCAUUCUCAAAGAAGUUAUUAGCAUACUAAAGAAAGAAAAGGACCUAAAAGGAAAAAAAGAAGAAGAAAAGGAUCUAAUUAUACUAAGAAUCACAAAAGUUAGGGGGUGCUUGGUUCAUGCUCCGAAUUGAAAUUGGAUACGGAAUGAAAUAUAAAAAAAUCAGUAUGGGUAUAAGCUCCUGAUAUCAUUGAAAUAACUACUGCUUGGUACAAUUUUUAGUGGAAUAGGUAUCAAAAUUAUUAUUGCAUUUUUGCCCUAUCUUUUUCUUUGUUGGCUUGCAAACAGAUAUAAGGAACUUUUUUUUUUCAAGAAAAUAUGCGAUAUCCAAUAUUAAAGAACAACAUAUAGUAGAAUUUGUAGAUUCACAUACCAAUUGAGGUUCAAUGACAAAUUAGAACAGCCAAAAUUGUUCAAAAUACAAAGCAAAUAACAACUUGGGAUCCGUUUAUCUCUAACGGCAGCUUGCUUAACAAAAUCCACUAGCAAGGAGGCAACGACCUUUUCCUUCAACAAUACUUAUUAAUGAAUCCAAUCUCCUUAGCAUUGCUGCAAAAGCAUUGUCUGCAGCACAUCAGGCCAUACUUUCUGAUAAUACCAUAAGAGUUUCCACACACACGGCAGGUGCGAGAGCCACAGCCGUGGUUCUUAGGAUGAGAAUUCCAGAUGUUGGAGUGUCCCAUCUCGAUAUCGUCUUCCUCUCUAUCAAGCUUUCAGCGGCUGCUAAUUUCUGCCAAAGCCAACCCUAAUUACUGAAGGCGGAGGAGGCAGAUUUAAGGAACUUUGUGUGGGGUGGCACCAGACUCAAGCCGGUGGGGUUUCUUUCUCAAGUUGAAGUUGAAUCCCUUGAGAUUGCGGCUGUAAAUUCGGACACUGAUUUAAACUCAGGGGUGAGGUUGUGCAGGAGGAGGAGAUGAGUGGUGGGAGUUGAUGGAGGAAGACUAGAGGGAGGAUGACUGAACGAGGAUGAAGGGGUAAGUGGAUAAAAAAAAUGUUUUAUUAAAUUUAUCUUGGAAUCAAAUAUAGAAAUUAACAAAACCCACCAAUUUACUCGGGAAUGGAGAGUUGACAACUUUUUAGAAUUCAUUCCAAAAUCUUCAAUCUCAUACCUAUUAUCCAAGCACUUAAAAUGGACAUCAUUCCAAAUUCCAAAUCCCAUACCCUCAAACCAAGCACCCUUUAGUUUGGUUGAGAAAAGAAAGUAGUACUUUAGAACAAAGGUAGACGAUGAGAUCCUCGAAAAAUAACAUAAUUAUGAAAACAUUUACUAUAUAUAUAUAUAUAUAUGAAGAACAACAUUUAUUUGGGUUGAAUCAACUAUAUAUACAUACAUAUAUAUAUAUACAUACAUAUAAUAUAUAUAUAUAUAUAUAUAUCUAGUAGUAGCACUAGAGGGAGGGAGUGCUCUAACAUUGAUUCGGACUAAAACCAAUCAUCUUAUUGGCAAGGUCGUAAGUGACCCGCAUCCCUUGCUGCUGUAUAUUCCCAAGUAGUGACGCGCCUUCCGAAGUGCUGGCAAAAGCCAAACAGUGCUUGCCACUGGUAUCAACACGAAACAAGUAAUUUGCAGGCCUCAACGGCAGCGUUUUGCCCCAGAGAAAUCAAGCGACAUCGUUGGAUAGCCGUCUGUGGGUUUGAGGAUAGAUCAUAGCAAGCGUCCAAUUUAAAUAUGCCUUCAGCGUACCCGCUCGUGGGAGGCAAGGCUUGAGCGUACUUAACAAACGUAUCACGGACCGAGUUAUAAACCUCAUCUGGCAACAGAGUUAUGGUGGUGCCCGAGUCAACUACAAUUCCCCCGCGUCCGUCUUGGCCUAUUUGGUAAGCUGAUGCCGGAAUGGGUACUUGUUCUCCAUUAAUGGUAAUCCCCGUGAGCUCCACGUAGUAAAAAAUCCCACUUGGAUUAAAAAUCAAAGGAACGAGGACUGAGUCACCAGGUGGAGCUGAGUUAAACUCAAGGGUCGAGGACUUGCCCGAGUCCAUAUCCACAAGACAGUAGGAGAAGGACGUGGCUUGAAUUUUAGAAGGAAAGCUUACAGGAGUGCCCCCAAGACCAAGUAUCCCAGACGCCCCCACGCUUUGAUUUGUAUGGGCGCACCGAUGGCUACUUUGUCAACCGAACCUGAACUUCCAAACGACACCGUUUCAGUGGCGAAUUCUCCCACGACGCUGGAUCCCUCUAAGUAGCCCGCUCUAAACAUACACGGGUCAGCAGUGCAAUUUCGGUUUUCGCCCAGGGAGGCACAUUCCUGGGAUGCGCAGGAUAAAAGACUAUAAGAUGAAGACCCAGAUGGGUCAAAGACCGAACCGGACACGCUAGAACAUCCAUCGCAGGGUAGGCAUUGGAGCCAGUUGAUUUGGCUACCCGUAUCCGCUACCAGGAGGAAUUCUUUUACUGGUUGGCCCACUCCGACCUGAGCUAAGUACGCUCCUCCAAAUGGAGUCAGCGUAGUUUCCAGGUCCUCCGGUUGGACUUGGGCGUCCGGUUUAACGUCAUGAGGGCGGUUGAAGGUGGAGAGAGCCCGCUCAAUUUUGGAGUUGAUGAGCUUGGCUCGGGCUCGGUCACUCGCCAGUCGGAGCGUACGAGGUCGGAGUAGUUGUUGUUUGGCGGCUUUAUGAUGGAUGAAUAAGGAUGUAGGGAGAGGGACAAAACGGAGGAGGUCGAGGUGGGCUGAGCUUUUUCUGUUGAGAAGAGCUGAAGUCUUUUGAAAACUGAAGCAGAGACUGCUUGAGGUGAAAAGGGACUGAGGGGGAAGAAGAAGAAGAAGAGGAUGAUGAAGAUGUUAAUGGAAGGAAAUGGCCUUUGAGCUUCUCGAGCCAUGUUUGUGGGUUUGGAGCAGAAGAGAAG